AUUGACCGCUGGCGGCACGCCUACCACGUGCGAGUCGAGCGAGCGGAGGACGGAGGCGAAAUGUCUGGGGACAGCCCGUUAGCGGGGGAUAACUUCUGGAAACGGUAGCUAAUACCGCAUACUAUCGGAUAACCCAUCUGGGAUUAGCUAGUAGGUGAGGUAAUGGGUCACCUAGGCGACGAUCCCUAGCUGGUCUGAGAGGAGGAUCAGCCACACUGGAACGUAGACACGGCCCAGAAUCCUACGGAGGCAGCAGUGGGGAAUAUUGCACAAUGGGCGCAAGCCGUAUGAAGCCAUGCCGCGUGUAUGAAGAAGGCCCUAGGGUUGUAAAGUUCUUUCAGUUGGAAGGCGUUACCAACAGAAGAAGCACCGGCUAACUCCGUGCCAGCAGCCACGGUAAUAC
rnacentral:rRNA from 1 species